AGCCUGAUCCAGCAAUGCCGCGUGAGUGAAGAAGGCCUUCGGGUUGUAAAGCUCUUUUGUCAGGGAAGAAAAGGCUGUGGCUAAUAUCUACGGCUCAUGACGGUACCUGAAGAAUAAGCACCGGCUAACUACGUGCCAGCAGCCGCGGUAAUACGUAGGGUGCAAGCGUUAAUCGGAAUUACUGGGCGUAAAGCGUGCGCAGGCGGUUUUGUAAGACUGUCGUGAAAUCCCCGGGCUCAACCUGGGAAUGGCGAUGGUGACUGCAAGGCUAGAGUUUGGCAGAGGGGGGUAGAAUUCCACGUGUAGCAGUGAAAUGCGUAGAUAUGUGGAGGAACACCGAUGGCGAAGGCAGCCCCCUGGGUCAAAACUGACGCUCAUGCACGAAAGCGUGGGGAGCAAACAGGAUUAGAUACCCUGGUAGUCCACGCCCUAAACGAUGUCUACUAGUUGUCGGGUCUUAAUUGACUUGGUAACGCAGCUAACGCGUGAAGUAGACCGCCUGGGGAGUACGGUCGCAAGAUUAAAACUCAAAGGAAUUGACGGGGACCCGCACAAGCGGUGGAUGAUGUGGAUUAAUUCGAUGCAACGCGAAAAACCUUACCUACCCUUGACAUGGAUGGAAUCCUUGAGAGA
rnacentral:rRNA from 1 species